rnacentral:tmRNA from 1 species
GGGGGUGCACCGGUUUCGACUGGUACGGUUCGGGAUACAGGCUGCAGGUGGAGCGGACGAAAGUCCACGCCGAUCUCCUUAACUCGGCAAAAAAUUUAACUGCCGACAACGACAGUUACGCUCUCGCCGCGUAAGCGCGGGAACGCGGAAACCAGUCCCGCCGCCUUGAGGGGCUGAAUUUCCGUCGCAAUCAGGGCUGGCCGUUUCUUCGCGUCCGGAGGAGGAAUGGUAAGAUUAUUCGGAAUACGGAGAGGCCGCGUGCUGUCUAGCCAAGCCUUUCCCGACAAUCCAAUAGGCGGCUAAACCUGUAGACGUCUGUGUGUCGCGUAUUAGGACGCGGGUUCAAUUCCCGCCACCUCCAG